CCCUUAGAAGUCCUGGGCCGCACGCGUGCUACAAUGACUACCGCAACAAGUUUAUCCUAAUCCGAAAGGAGAUUGGAAAUCUUCACAAUAGUAGUCGUAGUAUGGAUUGAGGUUUGCAAUUAUUCCUCAUGAAAUAGGAAUUCCUAGUAAGCAUAAGUCAUCAUCUUGUGCUGAUUACGUCCCUGACCUUUGUACACACCGCCCGUCGCUCCUAUCGAUGAGUGAAUAGAUGAAAUUUUUGGAUCGAUCUCUAUCGAGAAUUUAAUUAAAUCUUAUCACUUAGAGAAAGGAGAAGUCGUAACA
rnacentral:rRNA from 1 species